AAGAUUGAAGCAUCGUCCCUAGACCGUACCUGAAGUUCAUUUCAAGCAAUUGAUAUCCUAUUGGAAGAACAAUAACAUCCAAAAAAUUAGCAAAAUCAAUGCUGUGAACAGAGCUAAGCAAAAGUAUAUGCAUCGGAUGGGCCCAACAAACUUUGCGAGGAUUCGUGCAAAACUGCGUGCUAAGAAAGAGGACGGAAAGGAAGUUAGCCAGGCAGAGAUGUUCAUUGAGACUCGACAAAGUCGAAAAGGAAAACAGCCGGAUGAGGAAACUUCAAGUGUAAUUUCUAAGCUUCAAGAAUCAGU